rnacentral:lncRNA from 1 species
AGGAAGAGCUGCUAUUCUUGUCCCCAGACAACAUGAACCAGAUGCCAAAACAUGCUGCUAUUUAUUGCUGCUGUUACUUGAAAGAUAUCUAUGGGAAAAGAGAAGAUCCAGUGUGCAACAUUUUAGAAAGAUGCAACUGAAAAAGACAGCAUUUAUCUUAAACAUAUACUAUGCAUGAGCAGACGGUAGAAAUAUAAAUGGAGAUUCCAAUUGUCCUUGGGCUGCUAAAAUUUUUCAUAUAUAAAGAGGCCACUAUCUAAACUCAUAUCCAAUGUUAGAGAUGGAAAAAAGAAGAAGUUUGGAACAGAAGGAUGAAACAAAUGAUCUUGCAACAGCAUGGGAGUAGUGGCAACACUGACAUGGCCAGGGCACCAGUAUCUAUCUGAAGAGAGAAGAACAAGACAGGGGACACAGAAUCUGAUGAAGUCCUGUCAUUGUGCUGUGCUUGCCUGGCAUGGCCGGAACUGGUGUACUUCAGACACCACACACCUGGGACGAGUACAUGGGCUAUGGCAGCUGCUCUCUAACAGGCCUUUUGGACCUUCAAAAAGCUGACUGGGCUUUGACAUGCAUAACAGGGGUUUACAGAGUUACUCCUUUGGGAAGUAAGGAAGUGGAAGUACAGAUUGCUUUUGGAUAUUCCAAGCCUCCUAGACCUCAAGUGUUACACUUUGAUUCUUUUUGAGCUGAAACGAGGAAUAUAGUGUGUCUCGGCUACUACGCAUAUCAUCACCUCUGCGUCAAGCAAGAACAUAGCAGCAGCAAGUCUACACUGAAAUCACGUUAAUGAUGUGCUGAACAAGAAAGCUGGAGAAUCCAGAGGCAAGGCAGUCCCUAAUCCUGUUGCUGGCUGUAGGAUUCCCAGCUGUCAGAAAUCAAGGAUCCAGGCGCAGUGCAGCUUAAACAUCAUGGUCAGAGAGAGGCUGACAGCACAGUACCUGUAAGUACAGGCAAUGUGGAGCAAUUUACUUGCUUUUUAAAUGCAUUUGAACCUUUUGUACUCCCUCUGAUAGUGAUGAACUUCAAUUCAAUUCACAAAAAUAAAAAUUCAGAACGAUUUUACA